AAAGUCCCAAACGAUGAAGAAUUAGCGAAUCACAUUGUCCCCGAGUCAUGCGCGGCGUAUCGCGAGAUGCGACGUGAAGCGUUGACAGGGGGACACACAGGCCAGCCAUUGAGCCGCGAUAGACAACAUAUUCUGGGUGCCGACGCUGUCUCUGAAGCGCAAGGCAACACGACGGGGCGCGAUAACGCGAGUGUCCCGACGACCCGGCGUGGUCGAAGAACC
rfam:Burkholderiales bacterium RIFOXYD12_FTLL_59_19 rifoxyd3_full_scaffold_87, whole genome shotgun sequence.